CGUCAAAGGUUAACUGUCGCACAUUAUAAAUCCCUUAAACAAAUUAAAACCCUACACCAAUAUUAAAUAAUUCUAUAUUUUUAUAGAAAAUAUAAUGUUAAAACUAGUAACAAGAAGUUAGCCUUCUCUGAAAUGUAAGUGUAAGUCAAAAUGAAUAAUACAUUGACAAUUAACAAUAUUAAACCACAGUAAUAACCUCACCCAAGAAAAUUAUACUAAUAUACUUGUUAAACUAACACAAGAACAUUUAAAGAAAGACUAAAAGAAAAAGAAGGAAUUCGGCAAAAAUUGAUUCCGCCUGUUUACCAAAAACAUCGCCUCUUGACUAAAUAUAAGAGGUCCCGCCUGCCCAGUGACAUGUUUAACGGCCGCGUAUCCUAACCGCGCGAAGGUAGCGUAAUCACCUGUUUUUUAAUUAAAGACCUGUAUGAUAGGCGUCACGAGAAUCACACUGUCUCCUUUAUCCAGUCAGUGAAACUAAUCUUCCCGUGAAAAAGCGGGAAUUCUAAUACAAGACGAGAAGACCCUUUGGAGCUUAAGACACUAUUAGUAUAUGCUCACUUAUUUUACCCAACACACUAUAACAUACUACUUAUGAGUCUUGGGUUGGGGCAACCACGGAGCAAAAACAAACCUCCAUGCUGAACGGAACUUCCCUAAACAAAAAGCCACAACUUUAUGUAUCAAAAAACUGACACCAUUAGACCCAACAUUUUGAUUAACGAACUAAGUUACCCCAGGGAUAACAGCGCAAUCCACUUCAAGAGUUCAUAUCGACAAGUGGGCUUACGACCUCG
rnacentral:rRNA from 1 species